CUGCUCUCCCGAGGCGAUAGCCACCCUGCGAUCUCUCGCGCGGCCAGCAGGGGCCAGCAUCCCCCGCGGAAAGGGUCGCUGGGUUGGGCUGGCCGAUAGCCGGGGAUCGGCGACCCCGGGCGCCGCUGCCAAAGCCCCCUGCCGUGCGGGCUGCUGCUUCGCCUUCCCAGCCCCGCAGCCUUUUGUGUCUUUCCACUUCUUCCCUGGCCCGCUGCGCUCUCGCUCUAGAGAAGGCAGAGACUGCCUUGGGUGUGGCAGCCAGGAGUGGACGGUUGCGGGCUGGGAGGCUGGCCGGGUGUCCUCCCCAUCGCGGGCCUGGAGGAAGGGCUGGGUGCGGCGGGAAGGCCCGGGAGGGAGAGCUGAGCCUGGGUUGGUAGCAUGGUGAGGAAUAGCGGCCUCAGGGGCAGAGAUGUCCGUUUCUUUGUGCACCGAAAGCUCUGAGAAGGACAUCCCGAUACCAGUGAACUUCUAGAUUUGGAAUGAGCUUCUUACCGAGCAUCUCAGAUUCCAAAGUGCAUCUGAUUUGGAAGUCCUCGUGGUUCUACCUUCGGAAGGUGGCCUUUUCAAUCCUUCCAGCUACCAGUCAGUCCACAACCACUUAUGGGACACCAGACCUUGCCUGGAGCAGCCUUGGGGAAUCAAAUAGGAGCCAGUCCCUGCCCUCCAGAAACUGUGUGCCUGGGGGAGAAGAUCACACACAGGAAAAUCAAGUGGUGACAAGAGGUGCCAUGAGACAGUAUAUAGUUCACUUCCCCACUGCAAGAGUAAAGGGCUUAGGGUCAGAGGCUUUGGUGCCUGAGUUCUGACUCUGCCAAUUAUUAGCAUUGGGACCUCAGACUCAGCUGGCAGAGAGGAGAAGCAGCGGGACAUCAGGACUAUGGCUGGACGUCAGAGAGAAGCAGCUUAACUUCAGAGGUGCAGCUUGACGGUGUAACUUAGGAGAAGAAUCUGACUGGAGACGGCCAGACUUCAGAAGAAAAUGACCUACCCCCCCAUCCCCUUUUCAGCUUCCCUUCCCGCUGAGAGCCACUUUUAUUGGCAAUAAAAUCCUCCACA